rnacentral:misc_RNA from 1 species
GCAAACUUGGUCAUUUAGAGGAAGUAAAAGUCGUAACAAGGUUUCCGUAGGUGAACCUGCGGAAGGAUCAUUAUCGAUUCAACCCAAAUGAGAAGGGAGUUGCUUGUAGUUGUGCUGGCCUUCAAUGAAUGCAUGUGCACGCUCAGCUUCUUCUUUUCUUCAUUUACACACCUGUGCACUUGUUGUAGGGUAUCUUUCCAAGAUGCUCUAUGUCUUUUCAUAUACACCAUUACAUGUUUAAAGAAUGUAUCUUUUGUUCUCAUUAGAGACAAAAUAAAGCCUUUAUAACUUUCAGCAACGGAUCUCUUGGCUCUCGCAUCGAUGAAGAACGCAGC